GACGUAGGAGACAAACGUUAUCCGGAGUUACUGGGCGUAAAGGGCGUGUAGGUGGUAUCGUAAGUCUGGCGUGAAAUUUCUCGGCUUAACCGAGGCAGGUCGUCGGAUACUGCGAGGCUAGAGGACGGUAGAGGCGUGUGGAAUUCCGGGUGUAGUGGUGAAAUGCGCAGAUAUCAGGAGGAACACCGGUGGCGAAGGCGGGUCUCUGGGCAGUAACUGACGCUGAGGCGCGAAAGCGUGGGUAGCAAACAGG
rnacentral:rRNA from 1 species